rnacentral:rRNA from 1 species
UACGUAGGGGGCGAGCGUUGUCCGGAUUUAUUGGGCGUAAAGAGCUCGUAGGCGGUUCGAUAAGUCGGACGUGAAAUCUCCACGCUCAACGUGGAGGGGCCGUUCGAUACUGUCGUGACUCGAGUCCGGUAGGGGAGUGUGGAAUUCCCGGUGUAGCGGUGAAAUGCGUAGAUAUGCGGAGGAACACCGAUGGCGAAGGCAAUCCCCUGGGCCUGCACUGACGCUCAUGCACGAAAGCGUGGGGAGCAAACAGG